UACGAAGGGGGCUAGCGUUGCUCGGAAUGACUGGGCGUAAAGGGCGCGUAGGCGGCUCAUACAGUCAGAUGUGAAAUUCCUGGGCUUAACCUGGGGGCUGCAUUUGAUACGUGUGGGCUUGAGUGGGGAAGAGGGUCGUGGAAUUCCCAGUGUAGAGGUGAAAUUCGUAGAUAUUGGGAAGAACACCGGUGGCGAAGGCGACUUACUGGACACAUAUUGACGCUGAGGUGCGAAAGCGUGGGGAGCAAACAGG
rnacentral:rRNA from 1 species